GUGGCCUCUGGGUGAACCGUGUGCUUCUGGAAGAAUCCAUUAUCUCAUGCCAUCUACAUAUGGUACACAUAGUCUACCCUGGCAGCGUAACACACGAUCUCUCCCUUUGGAGAAAACCUCUACUUUUUGAUCUCUGGUCAAUUUUUUCAACUUCACUAGACUGGGAUAUCUUCCUGAUUUUCCUUCACUUCAGAAACAAGAGAUGAUUACAAACUAUUCUGCAC
rnacentral:lncRNA from 1 species